AGUCUUAUAUUCAAUAAUUGAUUUAAAAUUGCAAAUUUUAAGGUGUAAAGAAAAUUACUAAGGCUU
rnacentral:tRNA from 1 species